AACGCAUAUUGCGCCCUUUGGCAUUCCGAAGGGCAUGCCUGUUCGAGCGUCAUUAUCAACCAUCAAGCCUGGCUUGUCGUUGGACUCGUGGUCGUCAUGACCGGUCCGAAAGAUAAUGGACGGCGGUGAUUACCCCCCGAUGCAACGAGCUAUUGAUAGCACGCAUUGAAGGGUUGGUCACCCCGGCCUCACACUCCAUUUUCUCAGGUUGACCUCGGAUCAGGUAGGAAUACCCGCUGAACUUAA
rnacentral:misc_RNA from 1 species